rnacentral:rRNA from 1 species
AAUGAACGCUGGCGGCAGGCCUAACACAUGCAAGUCGAACGGAUCCUUCGGGAUUAGUGGCGGACGGGUGAGUAACGCGUGGGAACAUACCCUUUGGUACGGAAUAGCCUCGGGAAACCGGGAGUAAUACCGUAUGUGGUCGAGAGACGGAAGAUUUAUCGCCAAAGGAUUGGCCCGCGUUGGAUUAGGUAGUUGGUGGGGUAAUGGCCUACCAAGCCGACGAUCCAUAGCUGGUUUGAGAGGAUGAUCAGCCACACUGGGACUGAGACACGGCCCAGACUCCUACGGGAGGCAGCAGUGGGGAAUCUUAGACAAUGGGGGAAACCCUGAUCUAGCCAUGCCGCGUGAUCGAUGAAGGCCUUAGGGUUGUAAAGAUCUAUCAGGUGGGAAGAUAAUGACUGUACCACCAGAAGAAGCCCCGGCUAACUCCGUGCCAGCCGCCGCCGUAA